rnacentral:rRNA from 1 species
GAUGAACGCUGGCGGUGUGCCUAAUACAUGCAAGUCGAGCGACCAGACAAGGAGCUUGCGCUUCUGCCGUUAGCGGCGGGCGGGUGAGUAACACGUGGAUCACCUUCUUAUUUUACUGGGAUGAUUUCGGGAAACCGGUUCCAAUAAUGGCUAAUAUAUUGAACCGCAUGGUUCAAUGGUGCAUGCCGGUUUUGGUGUCACUUAUAGCUGGUUCCGCGCCGCAUUAGUUAGGUGGUAAGGUAACGCCUCACCAAGGCAACGAUGCGUAGCCGGCCUGAGAGGAGGAUCAGCCACACUGGAACUGAGACACGGUCCAGACUCCUACGGGAGGCAGCAGUGGGGAAUAUUCGACAAUGGGCGAAAGCCUGACGCAGCAACACCGCGUGAGUGAAGAAGGUCUUCGGGUCGUAAAGCCCUUUUGUUGGGAAAGAAAAACAGUAGGAGAAACUACGCCCGUCUUGACGGUACCUAAACAAAAAGCACCGGCUAACUUCGUG